GAGGGUAUAGCUCAAGUGGUAGAGUGUGCGCCUAGCAUGCACGAGGUCCUGGGUUCAAUCCCCAGGAUCUCCC
rnacentral:tRNA from 1 species